UUGUGGAGGAGGACGCCGAAGGUGGGGCUAAUGACUGGGGUGAAGUCGUAACAAGGUAGCCGUACCGGAAGGUGCGGCUGGAUCACCUCCUAACAGGGAGACAACAAAAUGUUUAAUAUUAUUAUUUUGUCACCUUAGGUCGAUCGGUACCUCACGUUCUUAACUUGUUAAGAAUUUCAUUUCCUAAGUUUUUCUAGGUCACACCCAUUAUUUUUCCUGGGCCAUUAGCUCAGGUGGUUAGAGCGCACCCCUGAUAAGGGUGAGGUCCCUGGUUCAAGUCCAGGAUGGCCCAUAUCUCUAUGUUGGGGGUAUAGCUCAGUUGGUAGAGCGCCUGCUUUGCAAGCAGGAUGUCAGCGGUUCGAGUCCGCUUACCUCCACUGAAUACCACCUCUUCCAUAACUGGUAGAAAGGAAAUGUUUCGACUUGUGAUCAUUAUUCUGAACGAAUCUAGCUUCCUAAUGAAAUCAUUAAGAUGCUGGACUCAUUGAAUUAAUUUCAUUGUUUUCAGAGAACCUUGACAACUGCAUAGAUUAUUUUUAAAGACAAUAAGCAUCUUUAAUGAUGCAGAUUUAUUAUUUGUGCGAAUGCAUUAAUAACAAUUCUAUUAAGCUGAUGCUUCAAUUUUGAAGUUAUUGGUCAAGCUACAA
rnacentral:misc_RNA from 1 species